UCCGCGAUAGCUCAAUCGGUAGAGCGAACGGCUGUUAACCGUUUGGUUCCAGGUUCGAGUCCUGGUCGCGGAG
rnacentral:tRNA from 1 species